rnacentral:misc_RNA from 1 species
GAUGAAGAACGUAGCGAAAUGCGAUAAGUAAUGUGAAUUGCAGAAUUCAGUGAACCAUCGAAUCUUUGAACGCACAUUGCGCCCGGCAGUAAUCUGCCGGGCAUGCCUGUCCGGGCGUCAUUUCUGCCCUCGAGCGAGUCCAGCAUCUAGGUGCUGGGCCCGCCCGGCGUUGGGGCACUACGGGAAGCCCUGUGCUGUCCCCCGUAGGCCCCGAAAUGAAGUGGUGGUCCUGCCGCGGCGCCCCCUGCGUAGUAUAACAGCUCGCUUCGGGACCCGGUGGAGGCCUGCCGUCAAACCUUACUCUCUAAGUUUGACCUCGGAUCAGGUAGGGUUACCCGCUGAACUUAAGCAUAUCAAUAAGCGGAGGA